rnacentral:lncRNA from 10 species
GCUGUUUGGACUCACACUGGGCCAUCCCUUCAGGAUAAUGAAAUCCUUCAGAGGCUUCAGGGUACCAGUUCAAAUGCUUCCUCCAUGAAGCCCUUCCCAAUACCCACCCCCCCAACUAAAAGCAAUCUCUCCUUCAAAACUGCUCUAAUGCCGCAUUUUGUCUUAAGCUACGGAUAUAUUUCUGUAUUUCCUCGCGCCUACUGUGAAGUAAGCACCCUGAAAUUUGCUGAAGAAGGUCAUGUUCAUCUUAGCAUUCCCCCAGGUAGCCCAGUGCCUUGCAUGGCCACAGUGAGCACACGAUAUUACAUGAGGAGAGCUGAGCUCCAUUCCUAACCAAAGGAGUUAAGUUCAGGUGUGUCCCAGUGCAGAGAUUGGGAGAUGAAAUAAAGAAAGCCUGGCCGGGCGCAGUGGCUCACGCCUGUAAUCCCAGCACAUUGGGAGGCUGAGGUGGGUGGAUCACAAGGUGAGGAGAUUGAGACCAUCCUGGCUAACACGAUGAAACCCUGUCUCUACUAAAAAUAUAAAAAAUUAGCCGCGCGUGGCGGCGUAGCGCCUGUAGUCCCAGCCACUCGGAAGGCUGAGGCAGGAGGCGGAGCUUGCAGUGAGUCGAGAUCGCGCCACUGCACUCCAGCCUGGGCGACAGAGCGAAACUCCGUCUCAAAAAAAAAAAAAAAAAAAGAAAAAAAAAAAAGAAAAGAAAGCCUGAAAUACGAUGUAGCCACAAAAAAUAAUGAGAAAGCUCUUUCUGAUGUACUGAUUUGGAAUCAUUUCGAAGAUAUAUUAUAUAUAGUAUAUAUAUUAUAUAUUAUAAGUAAUAUGGCAUAUAGCGUAUGUUCCCCAGCAUGUUCAAUUACAUAACACACUAUGUCUGGACAUAAAAUUGGUAAUACUGUUUUUUCUUUCUUAGACAAAGUCUCACUGUGCCACCCAGGCUGGAGUGCAGUGGAGCAAUCCCAGCUCACUGCAACCUACGCCUCCUGGGUUCAAGCGAUUCUCCUGCCUCAGCCUC